rnacentral:rRNA from 1 species
GACGAACGCUGGCGGCGUGCUUAACACAUGCAAGUCGAACGGAAAGGCCCUGCUUUUGUGGGGUGCUCGAGUGGCGAACGGGUGAGUAACACGUGAGUAACCUGCCCUUGACUUUGGGAUAACUUCAGGAAACUGGGGCUAAUACCGGAUAGGAGCUCCUGCUGCAUGGUGGGGGUUGGAAAGUUUCGGCGGUUGGGGAUGGACUCGCGGCUUAUCAGCUUGUUGGUGGGGUAGUGGCUUACCAAGGCUUUGACGGGUAGCCGGCCUGAGAGGGUGACCGGCCACAUUGGGACUGAGAUACGGCCCAGACGCCUACGGGAGGCAGCAGUGGGGAAUAUGGAACAAUGGGCGGAAGCCUGAUGCAGCAACGCCGCGUGCGGGAUGACGGCCUUCGGGUUGUAAACCGCUUUCGCCUGUGACGAAGCGUGAGUGACGGUAAUGGGUAAAGAAGCACCGGCUAACUACGUG